GGGUUGUGAGGUUAAGCGACUAAGCGUACACGGUGGAUGCCUUGGCAGUCAGAGGCGAUGAAGGGCGUGCUAAUCUGCGAUAAGCGCCGGUAAGGUGAUAUGAACCGUUAUAACCGGCGAUACCCGAAUGGGGAAACCCAGUGUGACUCGUCACACUAUCAUUAACUGAAUCCAUAGGUUAAUGAGGCGAACCGGGGGAACUGAAACAUCUAAGUACCCCGAGGAAAAGAAAUCAACCGAGAUUCCCCCAGUAGCGGCGAGCGAACGGGGAGGAGCCCAGAGCCUGAAUCAGCAUGUGUGUUAGUGGAAGCGUCUGGAAAGGCGCGCGAUACAGGGUGACAGCCCCGUACACAAAAGCGCAUGUGCUGUGAGCUCGAUGAGUAGGGCGGGACACGUGGUAUCCUGUCUGAAUAUGGGGGGACCAUCCUCCAAGGCUAAAUACUCCUGACUGACCGAUAGUGAACCAGUACCGUGAGGGAAAGGCGAAAAGAACCCCGGCGAGGGGAGUGAAAAAGAACCUGAAACCGUGUACGUACAAGCAGUGGGAGCACCCUUUGGGGUGUGACUGCGUACCUUUUGUAUAAUGGGUCAGCGACUUAUAUUCUGUAGCAAGGUUAACCGAAUAGGGGAGCCGGAGGGAAACCGAGUCUUAACCGGGCGUUAAGU
rnacentral:rRNA from 1 species